rnacentral:rRNA from 1 species
UCAAGAAAAUUUGGCAAUGGGCGAAAGCCUGACCAUGCGACGCCGCGUGGUUGAUGAAGUCCUUCGGGACGUAAAGACCUUUUAUGAGGGAGGAAGUAAUUGACGUUACCUCAUGAAUAAGGGGCUCCUAACUCUGUGCCAGCAGGAGCGGUAAUACAGAGGCCCCGAGCGUUAUCCGGAAUCACUGGGCGUAAAGGGUGUGUAGGCGGCAGUAUUAGUCCUUCGUGAAAGGCCACUGGCUUAACCAGAGGACCGCGGGGGAAACGGUACGGCUUAGAGGACGCGAGAGGUAGAGGGAACUCAUGGUGUAGGGGUGAAAUCCGUUGAUAUCAUGGGGAACACCAAAUGCGAAGGCACUCUACUGGCGCGCUCCUGACGCUGAGACACGAAAGCGUGGGGAUCGAACGGGAUUAGAUACCCGCGUAGUCC